rnacentral:misc_RNA from 1 species
AAGACUAUAGACCUGCGGAGUACCUGCGGAAGGAUCAUUACCGAGUUUACAACUCCCAAACCCAAUGUGAACGUUACCAAACUGUUGCCUCGGCGGGAUCUUCUGCCCCGGGUGCGUCGCAGCCCCGGACCAAGGCGCCCGCCGGAGGACCAACCAAAAACUCUUUUUGUAUACCCCCUCGCGGGUUUUUUAUAUCUGAGCCUUUCUCGGCGCCCCUUCGUGGGCGUUUCGAAAAUGAAU